UCCUUUCCUUCUUAUUUUUUCUCCACUUAGGCAAACUGUUAGUCUUCUUUGACUUUGCUAUUUUCCGAUGUAAUCCUUUGUGCAUGCACAUUGAUGUUGAUCGUGUGAGUCGGUGUUGAUUAUAUGCGAUUCUAACUAUGCAGAAGUCAGAUGUAUGCUCAAUUGUUCAUUGUGUUUGUAUUCGCUUAAUUCUUCAUCAUGAGUUAAUAAAAAUACAUUUUAUAAAUAGAAAAGAACCAAAGGAGGUGUAUUUCCCGCCACAGACAAAUUAAGCCC
rnacentral:lncRNA from 1 species